UGGGGAAUAUUGGACAAUGGGCGAAAGCCUGAUCCAGCCAUGCCGCGUGUGUGAAGAAGGUCUUCGGAUUGUAAAGCACUUUAAGUUGGGAGGAAGGGCAGUAAGCGAAUACCUUGCUGUUUUGACGUUACCGACAGAAUAAGCACCGGCUAACUCUGUGCCAGCAGCCGCGUUAAUACAGAUGGUGCAAGCGUUAAUCGGAAUUACUGGGCGUAAAGCGCGCGUAGGUGGUUCGUUAAGUUGAAUGUGAAAGCCCCGGGCUCAACCUGGGAACUGCAUCCAAAACUGGCGAGCUAGAGUAGGGCAGAGGGUGGUGGAAUUUCCUGUGUAGCGGUGAAAUGCGUAGAUAUAGGAAGGAACACCAGUGGCGAAGGCGACCACCUGGGAUCAUACUGACACUGAGGUGCGAAAGCGUGGGGAGCAAACAGG
rnacentral:rRNA from 1 species